AGAGACAGCAGUAGCCACGGUAAUACAGAGGGUGCGAGCGUUAAUCGGAUUUACUGGGCGUAAAGCGUGCGUAGGCGGCUUCUUAAGUCGGAUGUGAAAUCCCUGAGCUUAACUUAGGAAUUGCAUUCGAUACUGGGAAGCUAGAGUAUGGGAGAGGAUGGUAGAAUUCCAGGUUUAGCGGUGAAAUGCGUAGAGAUCUGGAGGAAUACCGAUGGCGAAGGCAGCCAUCUGGCCUAAUACUGACGCUGAGGUACGAAAGCAUGGGGAGCAAACAGGAUUAGAUACCCGAGUAGUCCCUGUCUCUUAUAC
rnacentral:rRNA from 1 species